AGAAUGAUCAACAGCUAGGUUACUCUAGAGAGAAUGAUCAACAGCUAGGUUACUGUAGAGAGAGAGAGAAUGUUCAACAGCUAGGUUACUGUAGAGAGAAUGUUCAACAGCUAGGUUACUGUAGAGAGAGAGAGAAUGUUCAACAGCUAGGUUACUGUAGAGAGAAUGAUCAACAGCUAGGUUACUGUAGAGAGAGAGAGAAUGUUCAACAGCUAGGUUACUGUAGAGAGAAUGAUCAACAGCUAGGUUACUGUAGAGAGAGAGAGAAUGUUCAACAGCUAGGUUACUCUAGAGAGAAUGAUCAACAGCUAGGUUACUGUAGAGAGAGAGAGAAUGUUCAACAGCUAGGUUACUGUAGAGAGAGAGAGAAUGAUCAACAGCUAGGUUACUGUAGAGAGAGAGAAUGUUCAACAGCUAGGUUACUGUAGAGAGAAUGAUCAACAGCUAGGUUACUGUAGAGAGAAUGAUCAACAGCUAGGUUACUGCAGAGAGAGAGAGAAUGAUCAACAGCUAGGUUACUGUAGAGAGAAUGAUCAACAGCUAGGUUACUGCAGAGAGAGAGAGAAUGAUCAACAGCUAGGUUACUGUAGAGAGAAUGAUCAACCGCUAGGUUACUGUAGAGAGAAUGAUCAACAGCUAGGUUACUGCAGAGAGAGAGAGAAUGAUCAACAGCUAGGUUACUGUAGAGAGAAUGAUCAACCGCUAGGUUACUGUAGAGAGAAUGAUCAACCGCUAGGUUACUGUAGAGAGAAUGAUCAACCGCUAGGUUACUGUAGAGAGAAUGUUCAACAGCUAGGUUACUGUAGAGAGAGAUAAUGAUCAACAGCUAGGUUACUGUAGAGAGAGAGAAUGAUCAACUGCUAGGUUACUGUAGAGAGAAUGUUCAACAGCUAGGUUACUGCAGAGAGAGAGAGAAUGAUCAACAGCUAGGUUACUGUAGAGAGAAUGAUCAACCGCUAGGUUACUGUAGAGAGAAUGUUCAACCGCUAGGUUACUGUAGAGAGAGAGAAUGAUCAACAGCUAGGUUACUGUAGAGAGAGAUAAUGAUCAACAGCUAGGUUACUGUAGAGAGAGAUAAUGAUCAACAGCUAGGUUACUGUAGAGAGAGAGAAUGAUCAACUGCUAGGUUACUGUAGAGAGAGAGAUAAUGAUCAACAGCUAGGUUACUGUAGAGACAGAGAAUGAUCAACAGCUAGGUUACUGUAGAGAGAGAGAAUGAUCAACAGCUAGGUUACCGUAUGGAACGUGUUGAUGCGUUAUUGAUGUGUUUUCACAGUGGUUGUUGGGGUCCCUGGGACGUUACACAACAACAUCAUCAUAAGCCAGUAACACAUUGUCAGUGACACUAACAAAACAAAACAGGCAGAAUACUGUAAUGAGAACUAGAAGAUUCCAUGUACCUCUCCCUCUUCCUCUGAAGUACUGCCUCCUCCGAAGAGGGCUGUGAUCUAAACUGGGUACUGCAUAUAUAAUAACUGAUUGGUAAUCCAACAUGUUCCUAGAGCAGGAA
rnacentral:lncRNA from 1 species